CAACGGUAACCCGCCUCUCCUCUCCGAUUUCUUUGAUGGAACCCUAGAAAUCUUUCCGCUUGAAACCCUAGACUUGGCGGGGCAAGCACUCAAUCCUCCCUAUUCUUCCCAUGGUAUGGCCUCGACCAGGGCAGGGCGUCCUCCCUCCGCUUCGCCUCUGCAGAUUCGCUCUCCCCUUUUGAACCAGCAUGAUAGAAUGACGGGCGUGUGACGGGGCAGACGCUGAAGGAGGUCGAGACGAACAUUGGACGCUGCCGAUAGUGCUUAACGGCGAGCGGGAGCUUCUCGCUUAAAACAAGGAGUACAAGGCUGGAGUUUCGGAGUUGUAAGUUGCUGAUCGAGGAGAAUAAUCGAGAAGUAAAUGUUCUGCCAUAUUAUGUGUUAUCGAUCUGCAUUAGGAUCUUUGCCUGAAUCAGAGAGAGGAGAUGAAGGCAUUGAUGCUGCUGUUCCUGGAUGUUAUGAAUUCUUAGCUGCAGGAGCUGCUGGAUAAUUAGCUGAACCGGCAGCGCUAGUCUUCCCAAGCCUCCAGAGGCAGGCCACCUCUCUCUGUGGACAGCUCCAGCGUCUUGCAGAGAUCUUGGUGAGCUUCUUGAGGCAUUGACACACCUUUGCUUGGUUUAUGCACUAUUGAUGGUUAGGAACUGAGGGAGUCUUACGACAAAUUUGACAUGCAAAACCUGAGCACAUUACAAUCAUGGACUUGAGGACUUCAAUCUUUGCU